UAUUGAAAGUUCCAUCAAUUUCUACUAUUAAAAAAAUGGCAUUGAUGAUGUAAUAAUUAAAUAGUUAUACAUGGUGUGACACUUAUACCUUAUGCUAACAUACAAUGAAUAAUUUUUAAUAGUAGAAAUUGAUGAAAUUUGUAACA
rfam:Gossypium arboreum cultivar AKA8401 contig_16702_7, whole genome shotgun sequence.